CUCCUGGAAAACGGGUGGUAAUGCCGGAUGCUCCAGUUGAUCGCAUGGUCUUCUGGGAAAGCUUUCGCGGUAUGGGAUGGGGUCGCGUCCUAUCAGCUUGACGGCGGGGUAACGGCCCACCGUGGCUUCGACGGGUAGCCGGCCUGAGAGGGCGACCGGCCACAUUGGGACUGAGAUACGGCCCAGACUCCUACGGGAGGCAGCAGUGGGGAAUAUUGCACAAUGGGCGCAAGCCUGAUGCAGCGACGCCGCGUGAGGGAUGGAGGCCUUCGGGUUGUAAACCUCUUUUAUCGGGGAGCAAGCGAGAGUGAGUUUACCCGUUGAAUAAGCACCGGCUAACUACGUGCCAGCAGCCGCGGUAAUACGUAGGGUGCAAGCGUUAUCCGGAAUUAUUGGGCGUAAAGGGCUCGUAGGCGGUUCGUCGCGUCCGGUGUGAAAGUCCAUCGCUUAACGGUGGAUCCGCGCCGGGUACGGGCGGGCUUGAGUGCGGUAGGGGAGACUGGAAUUCCCGGUGUAACGGUGGAAUGUGUAGAUAUCGGAAAAGAACACCA
rnacentral:rRNA from 1 species